rnacentral:lncRNA from 1 species
AUGUAUGCUUACGUCAAAUAUGAGCUCGAUGGGGAGACGGCAUCUGUGCCCCUUGCCUUCAUCAAGAACUUUUCCUCCGAAACAUUCCAGCCCGGAAUAUCCAAAUUUCGGGUAUUCUGGAGCUCUGAAAAUGAAGAGACGCCACAGGACGUGGAGAGGAGAAAAGGCAAAGUAGCCGACAUAGAUGGAUUCAAGGAUACCUCCAAAGAACCGGAGGCGGGUUAUUAUAUGGCGACAGUCCUCCGUGUUGCCGAUUCAAUUGAACAGUUACAAGGGAAGAGAAUCGCUUUUCGUUCAGCCAAAGUCCGUGAAAAUACUGAUUCCAAGAAAAGGUCCAGCAAAAACAGUAAGACCAACAAGAAGUCUUCUACGCAAUACGUGUCCAAGGUAUUUAUAUUUCAGUGAUAAUAGUUUGAAAAGACGUAGAAGUAAUGAUGUAGUAUUACUGUUGUAGUAGUCUUAGUAGUAGUAGUAGUAGUAGUAGUUGUUGAAAGAGGACUGGUGCUGAAGUCUUCCAUCUAGACAACACUAGUCACCUAAAUCAGUUUGAAUCUUCUUGUGUGAUGAACACAGGUAAAUUUUCUUUCCAUUCUUACGUACAGCUUUAGUAUCAAAUCAGCUGAAGUGCAAGGGAGAAAUAAGAUAAAAGAUGCACACCACUAUAAAUGCAUGAUGUGAUAAUUGGACCGCGUUAAACUGAAAGGAACCAAGCAACAUCAGCUAUUGCCAAAUUCAUCGGACAAUUUAAUUUUUUACAUGAAAACGGUUGUGCGGAUUUAUGUGCAACUUUCAGUGAAUUUUCUCUAUACUACAAAGCAAAUUCCUGAAAAUGUUCAAAAGAAUAAGCACAAUUGUUCUCGAUUAAAAAUUAAUUUUCCCCGUUAAAUUUGGCAAUAGCUGAUGUAGCUUGGUUCCUUUCUGUUAAACGCAGUCCAAUUGUUUGAAUCCAAUUUUUCAAAAUCAGCUCAUGUAAGUAGUGCAUGCUCAGCUUGCAGUUACUCAGUUGCAAUGUUAUUUUCUGUAGUAGUUAGCUAUAUGUGAGUCAGCUUUCAAUGUAAUCUUAUUCAUUAGCAAUAACGGUAUGAUUUUGCCAGUCCACGAUGGCAGCAAAUUAUCACAGAUAUAAUGUCAGCUGUUUUUUACGAACAACUCUUUGACAAACACUCCUGACCAUCAUUUUUCUCCAUAGAACCUGGGCCAUAAGAAUUGUUUACAAGUUUUCUCUACAUACCUGUCAUGAAAGUUAACGGCAUGAACAUAAAAAUGUGUCCUUUGCAUCCGCAUAAUUUUCUCCGUUCAAACAAAAGUGUAAUUCUCAUAUAACAAUAGUUGUCCCUUGCAUUGUGUUCUCUCCACUUUUUAAUGCGCCAACAGUUUGGAAUGUUCAAUGUUUCUCACACAUUUUCAUGGCAUCUUUGAUUCUAUUCGACAACAGAUCUAAUAUUAUAGUCACUAAAAGUUGCUCACUCGGUAGCUUGGCCUAGCAACUCAUCAAGCUCCCCAUGUGAUGAGUCACGAAAUGAAGUAAUGUUUUGUUUUUUUCCUGCUGAUACUGAUCAUUAAUUUAGUAAAGCCAUUUUCUCUUAAAUGUCAGCAUCCUUUUUUAAUGUAAGUCUUGUGUAAUGUGUCACCAAAAUUUUCAGGCUACGUGAUUGCUUUGGAUUUUCGGAUUCGCACAAAGCCAUAGAAUGGACAUAGACAGCAGCAUUCAGCCUUUCGAAGCUAAUAUUUUAAAGGAAUAUGAACGCCUUGAAUAAGCCAGAGGUAUAAAGCAACUCACACCCCCAACGAAUUUCCAAGGUAUAUGAUAAUAUUUUUAUGUUGCUGUUUUCUAACUGUAUCAACUGCUUUUUAUGUUUUUCGCCCACUACAUGUGAAAUCAACUGCUUUUUAUGUUUUUCGCCCACUACAUGUGAAAUCUCUAAUAGCAUGUAAAUGUUGUCUUGUACGUUGUGUUAAUGAAUGUAUGUGUCGUGUCUAAUUUUAUAGAAGAAAUGAAACCGGUCAAUGUUCUAAAUCUUCUUAUUCCUGCAGCAUUUUAAUAGUGAAGCCCCCACUGACGGCUCAAAAACUAAACUUAAAAGAACACUGCCUGUCACUGUUUGCACGACGCAUCCAACCUCCUCGUAAAAAAUAUUCUACAAAUUGGAUAUUAAGCAACACAAUUUCUUGAAUGCAUCCAUGUAUAUUAUUCGUAGUUUUUCUUCUUGAUGUAAUGGAUAGGUAUUCUGCAAACAUUUUAUGGAAUGAAAUUGAUUUGUUUUCUUUGGAAAAAAUACAUAUGCAGACAUUUUGGAACACUGCAGUCAAGAUACAUGGUUUUCAGUUUCACAAUGGAGUUACGAAAACAAAUAUUAAUGAAAGUUGUCUUGUCCAUACCACUCAGUGUAUAUUCAUUUACUUAGUGUCUGUUCUAUCCUCAAUGAGACACUAUAGUAAAAAUAUGUACUUAUCUCAUUUUCAUUUGCUGUGACAUUCAAAAAUGUCGCUCACUCUAGUGCCUCCGUGCUCUGAGGCAGACCUUUUCAUUUGGGCAGACACUUCUUAUAAAUAUUAUGUAGU